rnacentral:lncRNA from 10 species
UCGCAUGUAGCUGGGACCACAGGUGUGUGCCAACCACACCUGGCUAACUUUUAAAAAAAGUUUUUGUAGAGAUGGGGGUCUCAGAGCUUUUGCACUGGCUGUCCCUCUGCCUGAGCACUCAUCCCCCAGACAGCUGCAGAGCACGCUUCCGAUCUUCUUUCAGGUCUUUGCUCAAUUAUCACCUUAUCCCUGAGGCCUUUAACCAUCUUA